AUUGAACGCUGGCGGCAUGCUUUACACAUGCAAGUCGAACGGUAACAGGCCUUCGGGUGCUGACGAGUGGCGAACGGGUGAGUAAUGCAUCGGAACAUACCCAGUCGUGGGGGGAUAACGUAGCGAAAGUUACGCUAAUACCGCAUACGUCCUGAGGGAGAAAGCGGGGGAUCGCAAGACCUCGCGCGAUUGGAGUGGCCGAUGUCAGAUUAGCUAGUUGGUGGGUAAAGGCCCACCAAGGCGACGAUCUGUAGCGGGUCUGAGAGGAUGAUCCGCCACACUGGGACUGAGACACGGCCCAGACUCCUACGGGAGGCAGCAGUGGGGAAUUUUGGACAAUGGGCGCAAGCCUGAUCCAGCCAUGCCGCGUGAGUGAAGAAGG
rnacentral:rRNA from 1 species